rnacentral:lncRNA from 1 species
UCACGAUUAACUCUACAAAAAUUAAAAACUAAAAACGAAAUAAUAAUCACGAUUAACUCUACAUUAUUGAGUUAUCAAUUUAAAAAGUGUCCAAGUUAAAGCCUGAUCUAUCCCGAGAGUUGAGAGGAUCCCGUUUGCCCAUAACCAUAAUGGUAGGUAAACCACAAAUCAUGAUUCCUCCCAAGCUGUGAAACACACAUUUUGGCGGUUUCUUUGGGCAAUAAUCAAUAAUUAAAGACAAAGAACCAAUAAUUAUAGCACGUGUCCAAAUCAGUGUUUACCAAACUUGUGCCUUGUGAUCUCCAAACCGGACACGUCUGGCCAUAGCAAGGAUACGUAUCCCUCCUAUCUAUGUGCCUGCUUCCCUGGAUUAUAUACAAUUUCGUGCAAUUAAACUAAAUUACAUUUCUAACUAUUACUUUAAUUUAGUAUUUUUUUCAUUUAUAAGUAAGAGAGUUAAAUUUAAAUACAUAAAUUACAAGAACGUCUAACAUUUGAAUUGUGUUGGGUACUUACAAGUAACUUCUUCCCAAAAUGGUAACUAGUUAUUUG